CACGGGGGGAGCAAGCGUUGUUCGGAAUCACUGGGCGUAAAGGGCGUCUAGGCGGUCAGAUAAGUGGGAUGUGAAAUGCCCCGGCUCACCCGGGGACCGGCAUCCCAAACUGUCUGGCUUGAGUAUGGGAGAGGAUGUGGGAAUUCCUGGUGUAGCGGUGAAAUGCGUAGAUAUCAGGAGGAACACCGGUGGCGAAGGCGGUUCUCUGGGCAUUACCUGACGCUGAGGAGCGAAAGUGUGGGGAGCGAACAGG
rnacentral:rRNA from 1 species